rnacentral:rRNA from 1 species
UAACGUAGCGAAAGGCUACGCUAAUACCGCAUACGAUCUAUGGAUGAAAGCGGGGGGAUCGCAAGACCUCGCGCGAUUGGAGCGGGCCCGAUAUCAGAUUAGGUAGUUGGUGAGGUAAAGGCUCACCAAGCCGACGAUCUGUAGCUGGUCUGAGAGGACGACCAGCCACACUGGGACUGAGACACGGCCCAGACUCCUACGGGAGGCAGCAGUGGGGGAAUUUUGGACAAUGGGCGCAAGCCUGAUCCAGCAAUGCCGCGUGCAGGAUGAAGGCCUUCGGGUUGUAAACUGCUUUUGUACGGAACGAAACGGUGAGCUCUAAUACAGUUUGCUAAUGACGGUACCGUAAGAAUAAGCACCGGCUAACUACGUG